rnacentral:lncRNA from 1 species
GCUACCGAAACUCCUUUAGUACUGGUUGUGGUACUGAUAAUUCAGUACUAAGGGGCUUUUAGUACUGGUUGAAAUAACCACCCUUUAGCACCGGUUGGAGAGACCAACCGUACUAAAGGGCCUGCCAUGCCGCGCGGAGGGGCGGCCUAACCGGUACUAUUUUCUUUUCUUUUCUUUUCUCAUUUUCUUUUCUAUUUCUUUAGUCUAUAUUCGUAUCUCGUAUUUAUUUCCUUUACAUGUACUAGUUCUAAUAUGCUAAUAUAUAUAAUGUUCUAUUUAUCUUUAAUAUUACAUUUGAGAUACUAUUAUAUAUAGACAUAUUGUGCAUACACAUAUAUGAAUAAUAUUACAUUGCCUCAACUUUCCAAGUUCAAUAUUUCGUAUCUACUAUUCUGAACCCAAGUCAUGACGGUGAUGUAGAUUUGAUUCAUCAUUAUGAAACUCCCCCACUGGAUUUAUGAGCUCGUCCAAAAGAAAUCCACAGAGUUGUUCUUGAACUGCCCUGAUGCAGUUCGUGUCGAGAACUAUUUCCUUCAUGUACAUCAUUUGUGUAUAUACAAAUAAAUUGAACUAUAAGCAAAUAAAUUGAAAUACUUAAUCUAAUUGAAAUAUAAGCAAAUAAAUUGAAAUACUUAAUCUAUUUUUUCUAAGUAUAUACACAUGAAUUGAUUUUUGAAGUAUAUACACAUGAAUUGAUUUUCUAAGUAGAACUAAUUUAUUGUUAAGAAUUUUGUAUAUGUACGGUUAAGUCGUGGUCGGUCAUACGCGGCGGACCUACAAAGCUGUGGAUGAACUCACAUACGAAGUAUCCGCAUAAAUUAGUACCAGGCUCAUGUCUCCAACACUAUAUAUAUUGAAAAAAGCUCAUGUCUCCAACACUAUAUAUAUGAAAAAAAGUUAUGAAAUAUUUUUUGUGUUAAAGGAAGUGUCACGAGAUGUGAAAAUUCAACACAUACCGGAAAAUCAGUCUUCGAAUAAAGUUCCUCCCAUUCACCCACGUGAUUUCGACAGAAUCGAGCCCAUGCUUUGUUCAUGGCGUCUAUGAUGUCAUUGUAUUCUUGUUUUCAUUUCCUCAAAGAGUCGAAUACAUAUAGUAAGCUCAUAUCAGGUACGACAACAAUGAGUAUCCAAUGGAAACUGUGCAGCCAAAUUAAAGCUAGUCAGUCUUAUGUUUAACUGCUAGUUCGAAAAAGAAAGAGAUGGGAGACAUGCUUACUUGAAGUUGUACGGUAGUAUUAUGUACUUCUUGUAAUGUUGCAUGUCGAGUAACUUAUAUAUAUUAUUCAAGCUCCGAUUUUGUUUAUCUCCUAGAGUUGACUCGUUUACAACAUCGGGGUCCAUGAAGCCUACUUGAUAGUAUCCCUGUCUGGUAGUGGACUCAUGCUAGGAUCCCUGUUUGGUAGUGGAGAGGAUGCCCUAGCAGAUAGCGUAGGUGAUAUGGCCCUUGAGCAUUGAUGAGAUGAUCCCAAGGUUAGAGGAUUCAGGUGUGUAAUCCUUAUGUAGCACUUGGAUCAUAGAAUCCAACCAUGGAUGGCUUCUUCUUGAUUCUUUCUCCUAUCAUCUCUAGGGAUCUCCAGUUCCUGGUCAUCCCAACUAUCGACCACUCAGUCCACCAUAACUUUGGUGUAACCGCGAGCUAGAAUCUCCACGUCCUGAAGUGUUUGGCCUUGCAUCGGUUGCUCAACCACACCAUAAGCCACCACAAUGAGCUUGUUUUUCAUGGGAGUAACAAGCUCACUCUCCCAGUGAUGUCGUCCAUGGGGUGGCAUUGGUUGUCCUCAAGUAUGUCAGAAGAUCCUCAAGCUGGGGCUUCCGUGGAAGCGACAUUUCUUUGACGUUGAGUGGGGCUUACGUCGACAUGCGGUCCUGAUGCUGCAUCAGCUGCUUGUUCACUGGCUUGUGGUCCUCCAUAUAUGGAGCGACCAGGGAUGAUUAUUGUAGGACCAUUAAAUGUGCUUUACGAAAUGUAAUCUCAUCGAUGUCCAUCCAAGCUUUCCUCCCUAGUGUGCCCUUUCCCUUCAAUCUCCCCUCAUGGUGUGAUACAGGGACUCUGAUCGAUCUCAGGUCAUCAAUAAAGUCAACACAAAACUCAAUGACCUCCUCUAUUCCAUAUCCCUUUGCAAUGCUUCCUUCUGGAUGGGCACGGUUACAAACAUACUUCUUCAGAAUUGCCAUAAACCUCUUGAAAGGGACAUAUUGUGUAGAAAUAGAGGACCGAGAACAAAAAUCUCUUCAACAAGGUGGACUAGAAGGUGGAUCAUGAUAUUAAAAAAGGAAGGUGGAAAGAUCAUCUCAAAGCUGACCAGGCAUUGCACCAUGUCAUUCUGUAGCUUUAGUAGAUUGUUUGGAUGGAUUAACUUCUAAGAAAUCAUGUUGAGGAAUGCACAUAGCAUCACGAUUGUCAUUCUCACAUUCUCUGGUAGAAUACCCCUCACCGCAACAAGCAACAAUUGUGUCAUCAGGACAUGGCAGUCAUGUGCCUUUAGAUUUGUGAAUUUCUUUUGUUUAAAAUUUUUUAUUGCCUAUAUAUUCGAGGAGUAGCCUGAUGGGACCUUGAUACUAUUCAAGCACUCAAAUAUGCUUUCCUUCUCUUCCUUGCUGAGAGUGUAACUAACAGGAUGCCAGUAAUGUCCAUCAUCUCUCUUUUUUGAAUGUAGGCUAUCUCGUUGUUUCAUACAUUUCAGGUCCUGACGUGCUUCAAUUGUAUCCUUUGCCUUUCCAUAUAUACCUAGAAAGCCAAGCACGUUCACGCAAAGAUUUUUCAUCAGGUGCAUCACAUCAAUUGCAUUACGGAUCUGAAGGACUUCCCAAUAAGGUAGCUCCCAAAAUAUAGACUUAUUCUUCCACAGGGGUGCAUGUCUAUCCUCGUUGUUUGGAAUAGGUUGGCUACCAGAGCCCUUGCCAAAGACAAUCCUCACAUCCUUUAUCAUAGAAAAUACACAUUUACCAUUAUGGUGAACGGGCUUAGUAUGUUUUUCUUCCUCCCCUUCAAAAUGCUUUCCUUCCUUUCUUAACAGGUGUUUAGCAGGAAGAAAUUGAUGAUGGCUUGUAUACACGACAUUCCUACAAUGUUUCAAAUACAUGCUGCAUGUAUCAUCUAAAUAGUGCAUGCAGGCUCGGAAUCCCUUGUUUGACUGUCCGAAUAGAUUACCAAGCGCCGGCCAAUCAUUGAUGGUUAUGAACAACAAUACUCAUAGCUUAAAUGUCUCCUUUUUGUCCUCAUCCCACACACGUACCUUCUUCCUUCCAUAACAGUAGAAGUUCAUCAACCAACGGUUUUAGGUAAACAUCAAUGUCGUUGCCUGGUUGUUUUGGGCCUUGGAUAAUUAUUGGCUUCAUAAUGAACUUCUGCUUCAUGCACAUCCAGGGCGGAAGGUUAAACAUACAUAAGGUCACAGGCCAAGUGCUAUGACCACUGCUGAACUUUCUGAAAGAAUUGAAUCCAUCUCUACUUAAACCAAACCGUAUGUUCCUUGCAUCCUUUUCAAACUUGGGAAAUUCUCUACCAACUGUUCUCCACUGGGACCCAUCAGCGGGGUGUCUGAUCAUUUCAUCUUGCUUACAUUCUUCUUUGUGCCAACGCAUCAACAUUUGCAUGUGCCUUGUUUCUGAAUAAACGCUUCAACUGUAGUACUACAGGGAAAUACCACAUUACCUUCAUAGAAACUUUCUUCUUGAUGGCCUGCCAUUCAACAUCACCGGGGUCAUCUUGCCUGAUCUUAUAACAUAGGGCUUCGCACACAAGACAAGCCUCCAAUUUCUCGUAUUCCUCACCGCGAUAGAGGAUACAAUCAUUAGGAUAUGCAUGUAUCUUUUGUACCUCCAAACCCAGAGGUCAAACAACCUUUUUUGCUUUGUACGUUGAGGACGGCAAUUCGUUCCCCUCAGGAAGCAUGUUCUUUAUGAUUUUCAUUAACUCGUCAAAAUCCUUGUCAGAAACUCCAUUUUUUGCCUUCCAUUGCAGCAUUUCUAGUGUGGUACCUAACUUUUUGUGCCCCUAUUUGCAAUCUAAGUACAACAAUUUUUUAUAAUCAUCUAACAUAUGGUCGAACUUUUUUGACUCCUUCACAUUCUCGCAGUCUUCCUUUGCAUCUCGCAACAUCUGAAAUAGAUCAUCGAUAGGACCUUCUGCCUCGCCCAUCUCUUCUUCAGCUUCACCCAUUGGAGCAUCUGCAAAGGCACCUUCUUGAAUCCAAUCAGGAAUGUUGUCUUCUUCUUCUUAUUCAUCAUCAUCCAUCAUAACUCCUCCUUCCCCGUGCUUGGUCCAAACAAAAUAGCUAGGCAUGAAUCCAGAACUGUAUAUGUGGGCGUGAAUAGUCUUUCUGGAUAAGUAAUCCUUCUCUUUUUUGCAAUUUUUGCAUUGCCAACAAAUGAAACUGGAUGACAGUUUGUUGAAUUUUGCCUGAUCGAGAAAACCACGCAAACUAUUAAUGUACUCCAUGGAAUGUUUGUCUACGUUGACAUCCAUUGCCAAUUCAUCUACAAAAUAUUAUCGAACCAAAGAUAUUCUGAUCAUCCAUAAAAUUAUAAAUGAAACAUAAAAAACAUGAAACAAUUAGCACUAAACUGAAAUAUUGCUGAAAGUUUAGAUCGAAAUAUAAAAGUUUAAAUUUCAGACCCAAACAACAUUAUACACCUACGCCCAAAUCCAAAUUCCAAACCCCUCUCCCUCCCGCCGCUCCGCACCCCAACCCAGAUCCCCGUUUCUCAAUCCCUCCGCUCCUAGCUCCAAUUCCAAUUCCCCACAUGCCCUCGAUCCUGAUUGAUGCAGCCGCGAUGGUGCGCGAGCUGCGCGUCGACUCCUUCUACCACUACCAGGGGCUCAAGAUCAUGUUAGUUCUUUUUUUUUAUUUCUACAAUAUAGGAAUUAGCUACCUGCUAAGAAGAAGUUAGUGUUCAAGUUCAAUUAUGAAUCAGGAAGAAGAAAUGAUACAUGAGAGAAAGAUGAAACGAUACAUUCGAACUGGGCUACUGCAGGCCUUAGAGAGCUGGGGGAUAGAGCUUUGUGGGGGAAGUGUUGGAGGGCUAAGAUCUUGGAGAUGCAAAAGCUUGUGGCUUGGAGCGGGUACUAGGGUGGUGUGUAUUUGUAGGUCGGAUCGGAGAGGAGUACUGGACUAGUACGUAAUUGCUAAAUUAACAUGAUAUAAUUUUCACUUAUUUUUAUACAUUUCUAUGAAUUAACAUGAUUUUAUAUAAAUUCUAGCUACUUCAAGAAUUUUUUUCUACAUUAACAUGAUUUUCUACAAUUUCCUAUACAAAAUGGUGUAUAUAUUUAAAAAACAAAUAUGAGCUCUAAAUAACACAUUCAUAUAAAUGAAAAUUUUCUCCAUUGUACCUUAUUCUAAAAAUCACAAAUUACUCUAGCUCUAAAGCAUAAAACUUACUAUACUAACCAUGUAUCAAGGGAGGAGGAAGUUUCUAACCUUUAGAAUACUUGAAUGAGUGAAAUCCCCAAAAAUGGUCAAAAAUCCGGCAGCACCUCCCCCUAUUUCGCCACGGAUAGGGUGAAGCUCGAGCUAGAGGAAAUGCCUUAGGCAGGAGAAAGAAGGAGGGGAUUUAUAGGAGGAAGCCCCCAACAGGUACUGAAGGGUCCACAUUAGUACUGGUUGGUGCUCCCAACCGGUACUAAAGAGCCUCACGGGCACUCCCUCGAGGACUAUCCAUUCGGCUUGGCACUAAUGCUAACAUUAGUACCAGUACUGAGGCCGUGGACGAAAGGUCCAUUCCCACUUGCAGUGGUAGCUAUAGUUAUUUUUGUUGGGAAUCGCCAAAACACUAAACACCCUCAAGCGCCGUUCCUAGGUAAAAACUCUUUAACCUCGCAAGUUCUAGACCAAGGAACAAAACUUAGUUAACCUCGCCAGUUCCUAUAGGAACUAUUCUGGUAGUAAAACUCAUACCCUCGCAUCUUUUUUGUUUUUGGAGGGACUCGAUGCUGGCAACUGAUAACUGAUGACUGAACUCCAACUGAGCUAACCCUCGAGUGUUUGGAGUCAGUCCCAAACACCGAGCUUUUACCUUUUUACUCUUUACUUAGGAACGGAACAUAGAGGGAGACUUUGCAAAGUUAUAACUUCUCGGUGCAGCCUAAUAACCAGGUGCCACGAGGUUGAACAACUAUCUCGGAACGAGGGUGGAGACACGAGGCUGGAGGGUCGAUCUGGCACGAAGGUGAAGUAUCAUGGUUGGAAGGAUGGAGGGGUGAGAAACAUGACCACGUGGAGGAAUUCAAUUUGUACACAUUACCCCCAAUUACCUUUAUGUACGGUAUAUCCUAGGAAUGUUGUGGUUCAGGAAGGACAUUUUCGAAAUGUAAAGUGGCUCAUGGGUCACUAUAGAAGGGGAGCCCUACCUUGUUGUUAAGGGAGACCCAUCAUUUUUCUAUUUUUCAAGCAUUAUUCUCUUUUAUUCACAAAUAUAUUCGGUAUCAAAUUCCUUUGAGACCAAUAGGGCACCCACCAUGUUCUCAGCCAUAAAACAACCCAAGAUGCCACAACCAAAGAAGAAGAAGAUCACAUCGCAUGAAACCACCGAGGGUGAAAGAUAGAAAGAGAGAGGGCUUGUCCCUAUCGAUCAAAACGACACAGACACCUUAGAGGGGUUAAAGACAGUUGAGGCCAACUUAUGAACAAGAAGUGAGAAAAAGGAGCCGAGGCAGAGACAAAAAACCAAACAUGACCAGCAGCAGCCAUACCCAGCUCAACACGUGCUACCAGAUGAGGGUGCUCAAUCCUCAUAAUAGCAAAGUCAUAAUAGACAACCCCAACAACAACAAACAAACAAACUAUGAUGCUCAAUCCUCAUAAUAGCAAAGUCAUAAUAGAAAACCCCAACAACAACAAACAAACAAACAAACUAUGGCACCGGGCAAACAAACGGUCAUUCCGGAAGAGGGAGAGGACGAGGCAGAGGACCUCCAAGGCAACACAAUCAAAACAAUCAACCUCGAAUGUUUUAUUGCACAUUUCAUGGCAAGCAACUAGAUCAUGCGGCUGAGUUUUUCCCAGAAACAAAAAAGACCUUCGAAAGAAUAGCUGAAGUAAAAAGAGUACCCGCAACACCAAAAACCAUCCACCAUACCUCUUUUUUGCUGCAAUAGCCAUAUUUCCAAGCUUAUCCACAAACAAACCCAAAUACUAACCUCGCAAACUCCUUUGCUAAUCCUUCCUUCAACUUCCAACCCACCAUGAUGUGGCAACCUUCACCAUAGUAUCAACCUCAAAGUCAGCAAGCCUCGCAAACUGCAAGCUUCGCACCUUACCAGCCUCUACAUGAGAUACUACUACCUCCACCAAAUCUACCCAAUCAAAUACCUAAGGCCAAGCCCAACAAUGCCGAAAACAACAACCCAAAGCCCUACCCACCUACGGUAUGAUAAUGACAAUAUCGGGAGGAUCCUCACAAAAACUCAAAAAUCCAAAAACCAAUUCAAACGCCUUGCCCACCUACAGCAUAAUCAUGUCAAUAGGAGGUGGAUCCUCUCGAGAGUUUGAGAACAAAAGACAAAGGCAAAAUUACUUUAGACAAGUCCAUUUGAUCAUCCCUAACAGGCCACCAGCCAAGUAAGAAUGGGCACACAUGCGCAUCUCCUUCACGGAAGAAGACUUUAAACUCAAAACAGCCUCGCAUAAUGAUGCGAUGGUGAUUGAGGCUAUCGUUGCAGGAUGGAAAAUCAGAAAAGUGCUAGUUGAUAACAGAAGCUCAGCGGAUAUCAUUUUCGCAAGCACAUUUAGAGAAAUGAAAAUUGAUCCUCAAUGCAACAGCCAAUAGAACUAGCACUGCUUGGCUUCGGUGGAAAGCGAGUACAAGCUCUUGUGACAUCCCUAGUGAUUAAGAGACUAAAUCAAAGAAUCAUCAAAGUGAUUAAGAAACAAAAGAGCCACCCAAUCUAGACAAAAUAGCUAUUUUGAUAAGAGGAGGAAACCCUUGCAAUUCGAAGUUGGUGACCAUGUGUACCUUCGGGUUUCACCAACCAAAGGUGUGCAAAGGUUUGGAGUAAAGGGAAAACUAGCUCCUCGAUAUAUUGAUCCAUAUGAAAUCACUGAAAUUUGUGGACCCGUGGCCUAUCAAGUGAAACUUCCACCUGAACUCUCAGCUAUCCAUGAUGUCUUCCAUGUCUCUCAACUUAAGAAAUGUGUUCGAGUUCCAACCGAUAUUAUCAAACAAGAGGAAAUAUGGGUAGAACCGUAUCUUUCUUAUGUUGAGUUUCCCAUCAAGAUUCUUGAUCGCAAGGAAAGAAGGACUAGGCGACAAGUGGUAAAAAUAUUUAAGAUACAAUGGAGCCAUCUCACCGAAGAUGAGGCAACAUGGGAAACCGAAGAAUUUCUCAACAAAAAUUUCCGCGGUUUCCUAUUCGGACAGAAAGGUACACGCACAACCACACUAGUUUUAAUGACCCAAAUCUGUGGAUGAGAUUCUUGUUAAGGGGUGUCCCUUGUGAUUAAGAGACUAAACCAAAAAAUCAUCAAAGUGAUUAAGAAACAAAUCAAAACUAACUCCAAAUUUGCUAAGUGUUAAACUCAAAGACAAAUCAAAUUGCUAAGUGUUGAGCCCCUUUAAUGGUGCUCACUUGGGCAGAAAAUAAAAACAAAUUUUGUAUAAGAACUCAAAUUUUGGCCAAUAUAAAAGUGGUAGAUCUCUUCAAAUUGAGCAACUUUCAUAAUUAGCACUUUUUCUGAUUUUGAGUGAAAGGUGUUCAAAAACUAGGUUGAAGUUCGAUCAAAUUUCAAAUCAAAUUGAAAAUCAGUUUUACCGACGUUCCACCAAAGUUCUCACAAUUUUAUCUCCAAAUCCAUCAAGCUUUUCACCUAGUGGCCUAUAUAAAAGUUGCAGUCUAUAAUUGGUCUGAAACUUUUGUAUUUGGAGUUUUCCUUGUGCAAUUCAAAUUUUGAGAGAAAAUGCGCACAGUAGAUCAGCCCCUCGCGCGCCACAAAUACUCAGGGGCAUAGUUGUUAGAAUUUGAAAAGUCUGAGGGGGGUUCUGUAAAAAGGAAAAGUUAAGUUUGAAUUAAAUGCAUUUAAAUGGCUGCAAACUUGGAAAAUACGUAGAAAACUGUAGAAAAAUGAUAAAAAUGUGAAACUUGUUUUUGUUGAGUUUCUGAUGAUAUCUAGUUUGUUUCAAAAAUGCUUAUGUGCAUGUUACUAUUGCAUAUCUAAUGCUAUAAUUUAUUUUAUUCUAGAAUUGUUAAAUACCUUAUAAAUCAUGUGAUGAUCUAAAAAUUGUGAAACCAAUUUUGUUAGCUUCCAUGUAACUUCUAUGUUCCAGGUUUGCAAAUUGUGUUAGUGGAAUCCAUGCUGUUCAUUCUGUUUCAAAUCCAAAUGCGUAAUUGCUCUCUUAAUACUGUUAUUUACAUGAUAAUUAGUGAAAAAUAGAUAAAAAUGCAAAAUAUUAGAUUCUUGAUGCUCAUAAUUUGUGUAUCAUUUAUGUAGAGGGAAAGCUCCUUUAAAAAUUUCAUGUUCAUAUAUUAACAGAUGCUUCCUAAAAUAUUUAUUCAUGAUUGAAAGCUAGUUUAAUUAUUAAUAAUAAUAACUACUAGAAAUUGUGGGCUAGCAAAUGGUUAUUUAUGCUCUUCAACAGUAGCAUGUUCGUCCCUAGAAGGUUGGCUCGACAGUACCAAAGCAGCACACCCUACUGUCAUUUCAUUAACAAAUGUCUAAGGAAGUUAUAUGUGUACACAAUCACCAUCAAAAUAAAAGCUAUGUUUUCUUUCCAACCAACCUUCUUUUGUGAAGAAAAAGAAAUGUUAUAAACUUGUCUAGGUGACUGUGGCCAAAAGAAAAAGAAAGGUUUAUAAACUUGUCUAGGUGAAUGUGACCAAUAUGAAAGAAAAGAUUAUAAACUUGUCUAGGUGAAUGUAGCCAAAAAUACACCCUAUGCUUUUGUACUGAUUAACAAAAUGAAACCUAGGUCAUGCAAGAUUAUAAACAAAAUCUUAUACAUAUGCAUCUCGUGUAGAAGCUAACCUCGCUGACGAACUUACAAGCUAGUCCCGGAGCCUGAAGAAGGACACCCUCCUCCUGAUCGAGGUGAAUCAAGACCCGAACCAAGAUUCGGAAGAGCCCAAGGCUAACCUAGGACAAGAAGGCAAGCUCCGGAGAACAACCCUAAUUUUCCAAUUUAUGCACCAUCCGUUUACUUAUGUUUGUGCAUUAAGUUCAUAGGAGUUGUAUUGAAACCUUAGUUGCAUGCUCCUAGUACCCAUGUGUUAAAUACUAGCAUGUUAAGUCGCGUAGUUGCUAUGGUAAAUAGGAACAUGGUAAAAGUCGAGUGAUUUCCUGUCACUCGUGAGCUAUAGGAGUUUCCUGUUUACUUAUGUUGGAAUCAUAAGGUUGACGGGCCGGGCUUGGUACUAUGUUUCUGAAAUUGUUGAUGCCUCAUCUGUAUAGAGGAAAAAUUGCUAAGGUCAAAACGUGUCGGUGUGCCUGGUCAAGUGUUUGAACAUACUAAGCACAUGCUGAGAGUACGAGGAAUCAGUAAGCCUAGUACCUGAUUGAACCGGUGUGGACCUUUCCCCCGCACUCUCUGGAACCGGGUUCCUUUGAUGCAUCAUGUGGGUACAAGUGCGGCCACGGAACGGCGUCGUUCCGGGGACCGGUGGGGCCUUGUAUCCAAGGGGAGUGGGAUCUGGACAAGCGCCGCGGAUCGAUGGGAACCAUUGAUAUAUGUGAACCCAUCGUGGUACACAUAUGUUGUGUGUUUAGGUCCACCUUGCAAGGUUAAGAAAUUCGAUUCGAAUCGUCUGCUUCUCACAGUUUGGGACUACUUGAUCACUAUGCUGCAUUGAGUAAGAAAAGGAACAAUAAUGAUGGCUAACAUUGAUGCUUGAUUAAAUUGCUUGUUCUACCAUGCUUGCUUAGAAUAGGUGCUUUCCUAGAAUGGUUAAUCAACUAGAACUUGAUGCUAACACUUGAUAGUAAGGAUCCACUUUAGGAUCUCUUGGCAAAAACAAACCCCUCAGCCAAAAAGCCUUGCAUGUCUAGGAGUCGGUAGAUUAGAUACCACCUGACGGGUAAGUCUUGCGGAGUAUUAGUAUACUUAGCCUUGCUUGUGGCUUUGUUUUCAGGUAAUGACGUUGAUGAUGUGGUUGCUAGUGUGACAUGGCCGUACCAGCUCCCUCCAGGAUGGACGGUUGAGUGGGACCCAUCCUCGGUGGGCGAGGACCAUGGUGAGUGAUAUCAUGGAUGGCUUCACCAUGAUAUCAUGUAUUGAUGUUAGAACUAUCAUUUAUUUCUACUGCAUUUGAACUCUGAAACUACUUUAUGAUUUUAACUCAGUUUGUAAUAAAUAAUUUAGGAA